UACGUAGGGACCGAGCGUUGUCCGGAUUCAUUGGGCGUAAAGAGCUCGUAGGCGGCCACUCAAGUCGAAUGUGAAAACUCGAGGCUUAACCUCGAGAUGUCGGCGGAAACCAUCUGGCUAGAGUCCGGAAGAGGAGAGUGGAAUUCCUGGUGUAGCGGUGAAAUGCGCAGAUAUCAGGAAGAACACCCGUGGCGAAGGCGGCUCUCUGGGCCGAUACUGACGCUGAGGAGCGAAAGCGUGGGGAGCGAACAGG
rnacentral:rRNA from 1 species